GACGAACGCUGGCGGCGUGCCUAAUACAUGCAAGUCGAGCGGAACUGGGGGAGCUUGCUCCUUCCAGUUUAGCGGCGGACGGGUGAGUAACACGUGGGCAACCUGCCCUGCAGAUCGGGAUAACUCCGGGAAACCGGUGCUAAUACCGAAUAGUUUGGCGCCUCUCCUGAGGCGCCACGGAAAGACGGUUUCGGCUGUCACUGCAGGAUGGGCCCGCGGCGCAUUAGCUAGUUGGUGGGGUAACGGCCCACCAAGGCGACGAUGCGUAGCCGGCCUGAGAGGGUGAUCGGCCACGCUGGGACUGAGACACGGCCCAGACUCCUACGGGAGGCAGCAGUAGGGAAUCUUCCGCAAUGGACGCAAGUCUGACGGAGCAACGCCGCGUGAGUGACGAAGGUUUUCGGAUCGUAAAACUCUGUUGUGAGGGAAGAACACGUACCAACUAACUAUUGGUACCUUGACGGUACCUCACCAGAAAGCCACGGCUAACUACGUGCCAGCAGCCGCCGUAA
rnacentral:rRNA from 1 species